rnacentral:rRNA from 1 species
CCUACGGGAGGCAGCAGUGGGGAAUCUUGCGCAAUGGGCGAAAGCCUGACGCAGCCAUGCCGCGUGAAUGAUGAAGGUCUUAGGAUUGUAAAAUUCUUUCACCGAGGACGAUAAUGACGGUACUCGGAGAAGAAGCCCCGGCUAACUUCGUGCCAGCAGCCGCGGUAAUACGAAGGGGGCUAGCGUUGCUCGGAAUUACUGGGCGUAAAGGGAGCGUAGGCGGAUAGUUUAGUCAGAGGUGAAAGCCCAGGGCUCAACCUUGGAAUUGCCUUUGAUACUGGCUAUCUUGAGUACGGAAGAGGUAUGUGGAACUCCGAGUGUAGAGGUGAAAUUCGUAGAUAUUCGGAAGAACACCAGUGGCGAAGGCGACAUACUGGUCCGUUACUGACGCUGAGGCUCGAAAGCGUGGGGAGCAAACAGGAUUAGAUACCCUGGUAGUCCACGCUGUAAACGAUGAGUGCUAGUUGUCGGCAUGCAUGCAUGUCGGUGACGCAGCUAACGACAUAAGUACACUCCGCCGUCGGGGAGGUACGGUCGGCGAAGAAGUUAAAACGUAACGAAAGAAAGUUAGACGGCGUGAGACGUGCCGACGGACGACGACGAGGGAGGAGG